UUAUGCCUAUGAUAUCACUGAGCAUGAAUUAUGUUUCUUAUGUAUUCCCUCUGUUGGGAUCAGGGUGAUAUAGGACCUGUGGGAGAGAUGGGGCUUCCAGGACCUAAUGGACUGAAGGGGGUGCCCGGGAAUCCAGGAGAACCAGGACUGAAAGGUGAUAAGGGUGACAUUGGGAUUCCCGGAGAGCAAGGGGAGAUUGGGUACAAAGGAGACAAGGUGAAUCACCGCUGCUCAUGUUAUAAAUGCCCAUACACUCUGUAACCCCUAUUCUUUCCCCUUGU
rnacentral:lncRNA from 1 species